GAGCGAAGCUCUUCAGUAGUUUACUACAGAAAAUGACUGAGCGGCGGACGGGUGAGUAACGCGUGAGCAAUCUACCUUAGUUACAGGGAUAGCCCGAGGAAACUCGGAUUAAUACCUGAUAUUCUUUAUAUUUCGCAUGAAAUUAAAAGGAAAGGUCAGCCGAACUAAGAUGAGCUCGCGUUCUAUCAGCUAGUUGGUGAGGUAAAAGCUCACCAAGGCUACGACGGAUAGCUGGUCUGAGAGGACGAUCAGCCACACUGGGACUGAGACACGGCCCAGACUCCUACGGGAGGCUGCAGCAGGGAAUAUUGCGCAAUGAGCGAAAGCUUGACGCAGCGACACCGCGUGUGGGAUGACGGAUCUAGGUUUGUAAACCACUUUCAGGAGGGAAGAAAAUGACGGUACCUCCACAAGAAGCCCCGGCCAACUACGUGCCAGCAGCCGCGGUAAUACGUAGGGGGCGAGCGUUGUCCGGAUUUAUUGGGCGUAAAGAGCUCGUAGGCGGUUCAACAAGUCGGUCGUGAAAGUUCAGGGCUCAACCCUGAAAUGUCGAUCGAUACUGUUGUGACUAGGAUACGGUAGAGGUGAGUGGAAUUCCGAGUGUAGCGGUGAAAUGCGUAGAUAUUCGGAGGAACACCAAUUGCGAAGGCAGCUCACUGGGCCGCUAUCGACGCUG
rnacentral:rRNA from 1 species